ensembl:ncRNA lncRNA:CR45731 long non-coding RNA:CR45731
GUAAUUGCAUAGUUCGGAAGUUGGCAAAGACACAGUUAACGGUUAAUCGCCGACGCCGUCAUUAAUUAGCCAUAAAAUUCAUUUUGACAACAAUUAGCCAGCCACAUGCCAAACUCGGACUUCUGACAACGGUCUUGGCCAGUCCGGUCGAGUAAUUAGCUCUCGGGCAAACAAAAUAAGGCGAAUCUGACACCAAACGAACACAAAACAAACAAACAAACAGACAGACAGAGAGAGCAAUAGAGACCUCAGCUCAGCAUUUAUUUGCCAAUUUCUGACAGUCGUACGGAAAACAAAAAGCUAACCCAGC